rnacentral:tRNA from 1 species
GCCCCGGUGGCUUAGCCUGGUAGAGCGGCGGCCUCGUAAGCCGCAGGUCGCGGGUUCGAAGCCCGCCCGGGGCU